AGUGAACGCUGGCGGUAGGCCUAACACAUGCAAGUCGAACGGCAGCACAGUAAGAGCUUGCUCUUACGGGUGGCGAGUGGCGGACGGGUGAGGAAUACAUCGGAAUCUACUUUUUCGUGGGGGAUAACGUAGGGAAACUUACGCUAAUACCGCAUACGACCUACGGGUGAAAGCAGGGGAUCUUCGGACCUUGCGCGAUUGAAUGAGCCGAUGUCGGAUUAGCUAGUUGGCGGGGUAAAGGCCCACCAAGGCGACGAUCCGUAGCUGGUCUGAGAGGAUGAUCAGCCACACUGGAACUGAGACACGGUCCAGACGACUAAGGGAGGCAGCAGUGGGGAAUAUUGGACAAUGGGCGCAAGCCUGAUCCAGCCAUACCGCGUGGGUGAAGAAGGCCUUCGGGUUGUAAAGCCCUUUUGUUGGGAAAGAAAAGCAGCAGGUUAAUACCCCGCUGUUCUGACGGUACCCAAAGAAUAAGCACCGGCUAACUUCGUG
rnacentral:rRNA from 1 species